rnacentral:rRNA from 1 species
AAUUUUGGACAAUGGUGGAAACGCUGAUCUAGCCAUCCCGCGGGUAGGAUGAAGGCCUNCGGGUUNGNAAGUACUUUUGGCAGAGNAGAAUAGGUACCUCCUAAUACGAGGUACUGCUGACGGUAUCUGCAGAAUAAGCACCGGCUAACUACGAGCCAGCAGCCGCGGUAAUACGUAGGGUGCAAGCGUUAAGCGGAAUUACUGGGAGUAAAGCGUGUGUAGGCGGUUCGGACAGAAAGAUGAGAACUCCCAGGGCUCAGCUUUGAAACUGCAUUUUUAACUGCCGAGCUAGAGUAUGUCAGAGGGGGGUAGACUUCCACGUGUAGCAGUGAAAUGCGUAGAUAUGUGGAGGAAUACGGAUGGCGAAGGCAGCCCCCUGGGAUAAUACUGACGCUCAGACACGAAAGCGUGGGGAGCAAACA